rnacentral:rRNA from 1 species
CCGUGCUAAGGUAGCAUAAUCACUUGUUUUUUAAUUGGGGGCUGGAAUGAAUGGUUUAACAUAAAAUAUUUUCUUUUUUAAAAAUAAAAAAUUUGUAUUUCGGGUGAAAAUACUCGGUUGGACUUAAGGGACGAUAAGACCCUAAAAGCUUUAUUUUAAACUUAUAGUUCAUCUAUAUUAUGGUUAUAAGUCACUUGGGGGUGAGUUUAGCUGGGGUAGUUAUCUUAGGGGCACUAAGAUGUUGUUACACGCCUAUUGGCG